GACGAACGCUGGCGGCGUGCUUAACACAUGCAAGUCGAACGGCAAGGCCCUGCUUUUGUGGGGUGCUCGAGUGACGAACGGGUGAGUAACACGUGAGUAACCUGCCCUUGACUUUGGGAUAACUUCAGGAAACUGGGGCUAAUACCGGAUAGGAGCUCCUGCUGCAUGGUGGGGGUUGGAAAGUUUCGGCGGUUGGGGAUGGACUCGCGGCUUAUCAGCUUGUUGGUGGGGUAGUGGCUUACCAAGGCUGUGACGGGUAGCCGGCCUGAGAGGGUGACCGGCCACAAUGGGACUGAGAGACGGCCCAGACUCCUACGGGAGGCAGCAGUGGGGAACAUUGCACAAUGGGCGGAAGCCUGAUGCAGCAACGCCGCGUGCGGGAUGACGGCCUUCGGGGUGUAAACCGCUUUCGCCUGUGACGAAGCGUGAGUGACGGUAAUGGGUAAAGAAGCACCGGCUAACUACGUG
rnacentral:rRNA from 1 species